rnacentral:tRNA from 1 species
GAUCCGGUAGCUCAGCUGGAUAGAGCGACUGCCUUCUAAGCAGUAGGUCCCGCGUUCGAGUCGCGGCCGGGUCACAA